AUGCAAGUCGAACGGUAACAGGAAACAGCUUGCUGUUUCGCUGACGAGUGGCGGACGGGUGAGUAAUGUCUGGGAAACUGCCUGAUGGAGGGGGAUAACUACUGGAAACGGUAGCUAAUACCGCAUAACGUCGCAAGACCAAAGAGGGGGACCUUCGGGCCUCUUGCCAUCGGAUGUGCCCAGAUGGGAUUAGCUAGUAGGUGGGGUAACGGCUCACCUAGGCGACGAUCCCUAGCUGGUCUGAGAGGAUGACCAGCCACACUGGAACUGAGACACGGUCCAGACUCCUACGGGAGGCAGCAGUGGGGAAUAUUGCACAAUGGGCGCAAGCCUGAUGCAGCCAUGCCGCGUGUAUGAAGAAGGCCUUCGGGUUGUAAAGUACUUUCAGCGGGGAUGAAGGGAGUAAAGUUAAUACCUUUGCUCAUUGACGUUACCCGCAGAAGAAGCACCGGCUAACUCCGUGCCAGCAGCCGCGGUAAUACGGAGGGUGCAAGCGUUAAUUGGAAUUACUGGGCGUAAAGCGCACGCAGGCGGUUUGUUAAGUCAGAUGUGAAAUCCCCGGGCUCAACCUGGGAACUGCAUCUGAUACUGGCAAGUUUGAGUC
rnacentral:rRNA from 1 species